rnacentral:tmRNA from 1 species
GGGGACGAUAUGGAUUCGACGCCGGUUACAAAACCAAAUGUGCAUGCCGAGUAGUUCUACAGUGCUCGUUAACCCAACUGUGGACUCGUUAGCUAUAACUGCCAACGACGAAAACUACGCUCUAGCAGCAUAAGCUAGACCCUGGAUGGGGAUCGUCUCUGGUCUUUAUCAACAGGGUUCGAAACAGAGACUCGCUUCAGCGCUUUGUCCGGGGUUGAGAAGCUAAAUUUUUACUGGACUCGGAACGGCAAUCCCUGUGCGUUGGGAGACCCAGACUUAAAUUAAAAAACGCGACUAAGCAUGUAGAGCGUUUGGCAGCGGACUGACGGACGCGGGUUCAAAUCCCGCCGUCUCCACCA